rnacentral:lncRNA from 1 species
GUGCGGGUGGGCGAGAGCGAGGCGCUCAGAGGAGGAACCCGGGGCGCAGACGGAAUCUGCCAGAUCCUUAGGCGGGAGAAGCCCGAGGAAGAUUGACCAAUUUUGUAAUUCUAGAAACAUGGUCCAUGGAUCAGUGACAUUCAGGGAUGUGGCCAUUGACUUCUCUCAGGAGGAGUGGGAGUGCCUGCAGCCUGAUCAGAGGACCUUGUACAGGGAUGUGAUGUUGGAGAACUACAGCCACCUGAUAUCACUGGGAAGUUCCAUUUCUAAGCCAGAUGUGAUUACAUUACUAGAGCAAGAGAAAGAGCCCUGGAUUGUUGUAAGUAAAGAAACAAGCAGAUGGUAUCCAGGUAAGUGAGAGUAAAGCAGGCAGGGGGAAGCCAUCAUUGUCCCGGACAGCCCAUGUGCUCAGAGAGGAGUCACACCCCUGAGAUGUGGUUUGGA